CCUUUGACGUUAGCGGCGGACGGGUGAGUAACACGUGGGUAACCUACCUAUAAGACUGGGAUAACUUAGGGAAACCGGAGCUAAUACCGGAUAAUAUUUCGAACCGCAUGGUUCGAUAGUGAAAGAUGGUUUUGCUAUCACUUAUAGAUGGACCCGCGCCGUAUUAGCUAGUUGGUAAGGUAACGGCUUACCAAGGCGACGAUACGUAGCCGACCUGAGAGGGUGAUCGGCCACACUGGAACUGAGACACGGUCCAGACUCCUACGGGAGGCAGCAGGU
rnacentral:rRNA from 1 species